rnacentral:lncRNA from 1 species
CUCUGGCAUGGAAGAAUCAUUGCUACCGCUCACUAUAAUAUACCUCUACUACUAUUUAUUAUUAUAGGGUAGUAGUAGUACCAGUACUACUAAAUACUACUACUCGUAGUAGUAGCAGCACAUACAAUAAAUCGCUCCAGGGAUAGGAUUCGUGAAACAAUUUUUUUCAAAAUUCUCGCCAGUCCAGAAAUGCACUCCAGGGAGGGAAGAUCAUGAAAAAUACCCGCAGUUUAAGUUACAACGACUCCUAUAGUAUAUACUAGGAGCAUGUGUGCUGUCAGUAAGCCAAGAGACUGCUGAUGCUUUGCUGAUUGGGGAUUGCUCUGCUUUUGCUUUCUAGUAGUAGUGGUCUUAGUAGUCUUUGUAGUAGUCUUAGUAGUCUUAGUAGUAGUCUUAGUAGUUAGUCUUAGUCUUAGUAGUAGUCUUAGUCUUAGUAGUAGUCUUAGUCUUAGUAGUAGUCUUAGUCUUAGUAGUUUUAGUCUUAGUAGUCUUAGUCUUAGUAGUUUAGUCUUAGUCUUAGUAGUAGUCUUAGUCUUAGUCUUAGUCUUAGUCUUAGUCUUAGUUGUCUUAGUCUUAGUAGUCCUAGUCUUAGGUAGUCUUAGUCUUAGUAGUCUUAGUCUUAGUAGUAGUAGUCUUAGUCUUAGUCUUAGUAGUUUUAGUCUUAGUAGUAGUCUUAGUCUUAGUAGUCUUAGUCUUAGUAGUCUUAGUCUUAGUAGUCUUAGUCUUAGUAGUUGUCUUAGCAGUAGUCUUAGUCUUAGUAGUAGUAGUCUUAGUAGUAGUAGUCNN